rnacentral:tRNA from 1 species
GGUCGGUUCGUCUAACGGUCAGGACAGCUGGUUUUCAUCCAGCAAACGAGAGUUCGACUCUCUCACCGACCU